CCUACGGGUGGCAGCAGUGGGGAAUAUUGCGCAAUGGGGGCAACCCUGACGCAGCCAUGCCGCGUGAAUGAAGAAGGCCUUCGGGUUGUAAAGUUCUUUCGGUAGCGAGGAAGGCAUUUAGUUUAAUAGACUAGGUGAUUGACGUUAACUACAGAAGAAGCACCGGCUAACUCCGUGCCAGCAGCCGCGGUAAUACGGAGGGUGCGAGCGUUAAUCGGAAUAACUGGGCGUAAAGGGCACGCAGGCGGUGACUUAAGUGAGGUGUGAAAGCCCCGGGCUUAACCUGGGAAUUGCAUUUCAUACUGGGUCGCUAGAGUACUUUAGGGAGGGGUAGAAUUCCACGUGUAGCGGUGAAAUGCGGAGAGAUGUGGAGGAAUACCGAAGGCGAAGGCAGCCCCUUGGGAAUGUACUGACGCUCAUGUGCGAAAGCGUGGGGAGCAAACAGGAUUAGAUACCCCAGUAGUC
rnacentral:rRNA from 1 species